UCCAGCAUGGUGUAGCGGUAACAUCGGUGCCUUUCACGCACUAGCCCGGGGUUCGACUCCCCGUACUGGAA